UUUAUUUUGCGCUUGAUCCUGGUUUUAGUGGGUUUUUCGUCCUCGUCGCGUGUUUCAUGGUGGCCGCUAGGGUGCCCCUGCCGGCCAUCUGCCAUCUGCUCCAGGGGCCCCCUCCAGGAACACACAGCGACUGCUAAGCCGUCGUCCUGUUUUGCUUCUCCCUACACAUCCUUACUAAGAGAAAGGGGCCUGCCCAGCUAGCAGCAGCUUCCUAGCUGGAAGAUGCAUAGCCAUAACGCACGCAUCGAUUAGGAGCAGUUUAUCACGCAGCUUGUACGCAUGCUGCCGCCGCCUUUUCGCCUCGUGCCUAUAUCGUGGCGGGUGAACAAGGGAAUCUCGCUGGAGACCCUUUUGGAAGGGAUCUCGGUGGCGCACUGCCGUUGCGUGUCGUUCGUCGGUAUAAGAAUUGCCGGACGGUCGAUGUCCGCUGUACGUUUCAUUAGCUAUAUGUUUCUGCAGUUUGAUAUAAUGUUUUUGUGGCGUAGAUCUACAAGAGAUCAAGAAGGGUGAUGUUCUGGAUGCUGAUCUCGACUAAUAGUUGCCGGAUGAACUAUGCAAUGACAGCAUGGAUGAGCUUUGUGUGCAGUUCACAUUUACCUGGUGGACCAUCACCAACCGGAUGGAGGUGAAGCAAGUGGUCAAGUCAGGGAAAUGCUCGAAAGGCUAUCGAGAAGAUCAACGAUCUUAACCCCACGAUCCUAAUUUCAGUUUGUACCUCGUUGUUGGGCUGUCAGAAAAGUUUGGAGCAGGAGCAAUGAUAUGACAAUUGUGGCUAACUUUCUUGUCAUUAGUCAUAUAUGUGCUAAUGGACCUUCCGGGUUCUCCAUUAUGUUUACCGGCCGGUUUCUCAUCUGAAAAAUACCCCAUAGCAUAGUGGACAAUGCUUUUUUUGGGUCAGAAGUAGUAUUUCUACAUGAAACUAAGGUAUAUAUGCGUAUGAGAAAUGUGGCUUAUCUUUAGAUAAUGCUUUUUUUGUUAGAAGUUGUUUUUCUACAUGAAAUUAAGGUAUAUAUGCGUAUGAGAAAUUAUAUCUUUGCUUAACUCAAAAAAUUGUAUUUGCUCCUUUUAGCGGGAGCCUGGAGGUGAUACGGUUUGUACAACAUGGUUUGAAUAAGAUAUUGUUUGUAUACUGUAUUGUUUGUAUACUGUUGAGUGAAGUAUUGUAUAACUACUGUAAAGUGGGUGUAGGUUUUUAUUGUGCAUUUUUCACAGAGGUUUGGGCGUUUGGACACAACCAUAUGUACAAUUUGAAGCCUUCAUUUGCAAGCAUUUCUUUAGGAAACAGAGAAAACCGCAGCAACUAUUUGAUGUUUCUCGACGCUUGAAGACAACAAGUGAAGUUGUUGCUACCAUCUUACAAGCCAAAGUCAUGAGAAAGUCGGGUGUUAAAAUGUUGGGAGAUUACAAAGUUCAUGCUCUAUUCACACAUGGUGGAGGCAACCCAACAAGUUGUUGCGGGAGCCAGCAGAGAAAGGAGUCGAGGAACCCGCAUCAUGGGAGAGUCAUCGAGGGGCAUCCGGAUAAAGCCUAUAUACUGGAUGAGAUUCUCAUUGCCGGCAUUCUUCAUGAACCUAUCAAGGAGAACAUUUCAAUACUAAUUGCAGCACAUGUUUUCUCACCACCGGCUAACAAGAAGAGAGUAUGAUUUUCUAAUGCUCAGUGUUGUAAGCUUGAUUCACGAGGAGCUUCUCAAUGUUGUACAUGUUGUUUGUGAGUAACAGAAAUAAAUCAUUUCCUGGAAUCAGACGCUAUAUUUUCUGUGGGAAUU